rnacentral:rRNA from 1 species
CGAAAGCCUGACGGAGCAAUACCGCGUGAGGGAGGAAGGCUCUUGGGUUGUAAACCUCUUUUCUCAGGGAAGAGCAAAAUGACGGUACCUGAGGAAUCAGCAUCUGCUAACUCCGUGCCAGCAGCCGCGGUAAUACGGAGGAUGCAAGCGUUAUCCGGAAUGAUUGGGCGUAAAGCGUCCGCAGGUGGCCUUGAAAGUCUGCUGUCAAAGAGUCUGGCUCAACCAGAUAAAGGCAGUGGAAACUACAAAGCUAGAGUACGUUCGGGGCAGAGGGAAUUCCUGGUGUAGCGGUGAAAUGCGUAGAGAUCAGGAAGAACACCGGUGGCGAAAGCGCUCUGCUAGGCCGUAACUGACACUGAGGGACGAAAGCUGGGGGAGCGAAUGGGAUUAGAUACCCCAGUAGUCCUAGCCGUAAACGAUGGAUACUAGGUGUUGCUUGUAUCGACCCGAGCAGUACCGUAGCUAACGCGUUAAGUAUCCCGCCUGGGGAGUACGCAGGCAACUGUGAAACUCAAAGGAAUUGACGGGGGCCCGCACAAGCGGUGGAGUAUGUGGUUUAAUUCGAUGCAACGCGAAGAACCUUACCAGGGCUUGACAUGUCGCGAAUCAUGGGGAAACUCGUGAGUGCCUUCGGGAGCGCGAACACAGGUGGUGCAUGGCUGUCGUCAGCUCGUGUCGCGAGAUGUUGGGUUAAGUCCCGCAACGAGCGCAACCCUCGUUUUUAGUUGCCAUCAUUAAGUUGGGCACUCUGGAGAGACUGCCGGUGACAAACCGGAGGAAGGUGGGGAUGACGUCAAGUCAGCAUGCCCCUUACGUCCUGGGCUACACACGUACUACAAUGCUCCGAACAGAGGGCAGCAAGCAUGCGAAUGCAAGCUAAUCCCGGAAGUCGUAGCUCGGUUCAGAUCGCAGGCUGCAACUCGCCUGCGUGAAGUUGGAAUCGCUAGUAAUUGCAGGUCAGCAUACUGCAGUGAAUUCGUUCCCGGGCCUUGUACACACCGCCCGUCACACCAUGGAAGCUGGUAGUGCCCGAAGUCAUUACCCCAACCUUUCGGGGAGGGGGAUGCCUAAGGCAGGA